UGGGUCCUACGGGACGCAGCAGUGGGGAAUAUUGCACAAUGGGGGAAACCCUGAUGCAGCAACGCCGCGUGAGUGAAGAAGUAUUUCGGUAUGUAAAGCUCUAUCAGCAGGGAAGAAAAUGACGGUACCUGAGUAAGAAGCCCCGGCUAACUACGUGCCAGCAGCCGCGGUAAUACGUAUGGGGCAAGCGUUAUCCGGAUUUACUGGGUGUAAAGGGAGCGUAGGCGGCCUGGCAAGCCUGAUGCGAAAUACCGGGGCCCAACCCCGGCGCUGCAUUGGGAACUGCCAGGCUGGAGUGCCGGAGG
rnacentral:rRNA from 1 species